AUUGAACGCUGGCGGCAUGCCUUACACAUGCAAGUCGAACGGCAGCACGGGAGCAAUCCUGGUGGCGAGUGGCGAACGGGUGAGUAAUAUAUCGGAACGUGCCCAGUAGUGGGGGAUAACUGCUCGAAAGAGCAGCUAAUACCGCAUACGACCUGAGGGUGAAAGGGGGGGAUCGCAAGACCUCUCGCUAUUGGAGCGGCCGAUAUCAGAUUAGCUAGUUGGUGGGGUAAAGGCCUACCCAGGCAACGAUCUGUAGUUGGUCUGAGAGGACGACCAGCCGCACUGGUACUGAGACACGGCCCAGACUCCUACGGGAGGCAGCAGUGGGGAAUUUUGGACAAUGGACGCAAGUCUGAUCCAGCCAUUCCGCGUGCAGGACGAAGGCCUUCGGGUUGUAAACUGCUUUUGUACAGAACGAAAAGGUCUCUAUUAAUACUAGGGGCUCAUGACGGUACUGUAAGAAUAAGCACCGGCUAACUACGUGCCAGCAGCCGCAGUAAUAC
rnacentral:rRNA from 1 species